AUAAGCGCCGGUAAGGUGAUAUGAACCGUUAUAACCGGCGAUUUCCGAAUGGGGAAACCCAGUGUGAUUCGUCACACUAUCAUUAACUGAAUCCAUAGGUUAAUGAGGCGAACCGGGGGAACUGAAACAUCUAAGUACCCCGAGGAAAAGAAAUCAACCGAGAUUCCCCCAGUAGCGGCGAGCGAACGGGGAGGAGCCCAGAGCCUGAAUCAGCAUGUGUGUUAGUGGAAGCGUCUGGAAAGGCGCGCGAUACAGGGUGACAGCCCCGUACACAAAAGCGCAUGUGCUGUGAGCUCGAUGAGUAGGGCGGGACACGUGGUAUCCUGUCUGAAUAUGGGGGGACCAUCCUCCAAGGCUAAAUACUCCUGACUGACCGAUAGUGAACCAGUACCGUGAGGGAAAGGCGAAAAGAACCCCGGCGAGGGGAGUGAAAAAGAACCUGAAACCGUGUACGUACAAGCAGUGGGAGCACCCUUCGGGGUGUGACUGCGUACCUUUUGUAUAAUGGGUCAGCGACUUAUAUUCUGUAGCAAGGUUAACCGUAUAGGGGAGCCGGAGGGAAACCGAGUCUUAACCGGGCGUUAAGUUGCAGGGUAUAGACCCGAAACCCGGUGAUCUAGCCAUGGGCAGGUUGAAGGUUGGGUAACACUAACUGGAGGACCGAACCGACUAAUGUUGAAAAAUUAGCGGAUGACCUGUGGCUGGGGGUGAAAGGCCAAUCAAACCGGGAGAUAGCUGGUUCUCCCCGAAAGCUAUUUAGGUAGCGCCUCGUGAAUUCAUCUCCGGGGGUAGAGCACUGUUUCGGCUAGGGGGCCAUCCCGGCUUACCAACCCGAUGCAAACUGCGAAUACCGGAGAAUGUUAUCACGGGAGACACACGGCGGGUGCUAACGUCCGUCGUGAAGAGGGAAACAACCCAGACCGCCAGCUAAGGUCCCAAAGUCAUGGUUAAGUGGGAAACGAUGUGGGAAGGCCCAGACAGCCAGGAUGUUGGCUUAGAAGCAGCCAUCAUUUAAAGAAAGCGUAAUAGCUCACUGGUCGAGUCGGCCUGCGCGGAAGAUGUAACGGGGCUAAACCAUGCACCGAAGCUGCGGCAGCGAACGUAUCACCCAAGACAACUUUACGGAGUUGACGAUUGACGGAGCGAAGCGACGUCAAAGCGUUCAUUAAAGUCGAGUUGGCUUAGGGAUACGUUCGUUGGGUAGGGGAGCGUUCUGUAAGCCUGUGAAGGUGUGUCGUGAGGCAUGCUGGAGGUAUCAGAAGUGCGAAUGCUGACAUAAGUAACGAUAAAGCGGGUGAAAAGCCCGCUCGCCGGAAGACCAAGGGUUCCUGUCCAACGUUAAUCGGGGCAGGGUGAGUCGACCCCUAAGGCGAGGCCGAAAGGCGUAGUCGAUGGGAAACGGGUUAAUAUUCCCGUACUUGGUGUUACUGCGAAGGGGGGACGGAGAAGGCUAUGUUGGCCGGGCGACGGUUGUCCCGGUUUAAGCGUGUAGGUGUGUGUUCCAGGUAAAUCCGGUUCACUUUAACACUGAGGCGUGACGACGAGGCACUACGGUGCUGAAGCAACAAAUGCCCUGCUUCCAGGAAAAGCCUCUAAGCAUCAGGUAACACGAAAUCGUACCCCAAACCGACACAGGUGGUCAGGUAGAGAAUACCAAGGCGCUUGAGAGAACUCGGGUGAAGGAACUAGGCAAAAUGGUGCCGUAACUUCGGGAGAAGGCACGCUGACACGUAGGUGAAGUGAUUUACUCAUGGAGCUGAAGUCAGUCGAAGAUACCAGCUGGCUGCAACUGUUUAUUAAAAACACAGCACUGUGCAAACACGAAAGUGGACGUAUACGGUGUGACGCCUGCCCGGUGCCGGAA
rnacentral:rRNA from 1 species